AGAGAAUUCUAAAAUUGCUCAAGGCACUGUUAUGUUGAUUAUGAUUGAUAACCAUCAAUAUCCUAAAGAUUGCAUGAUUUUUCUGUGACUGAGUUUUCCCCCCUCCCUUUGUUGCUUUUCAUGCAUAAAUCUAUAAAGGUUUGGAGCAUGUAUAGCAUCAUGAUGAAGUCAUAUGAGCCAAUAUUUUGUCAUUGAUUCUCUUCUUGUUUCUUCAAUUGACGGUUUUUUUUUUUUUUU
rnacentral:misc_RNA from 1 species